UGCGCCCCGGGAGGGCAGGGGCCGCCCGCCCGCCCACCUCUACUGCCUGCCCGCACGUUUUGCCAGGUUCACUGAGAGCAAGGGGCCUGAAUCAGGUGUGCAGAUGCCCUCUCGCGUCCAAGCCGCAAGGACUUCGAAGACACAGUCUCUGGCCAAGGGUUAUUAGCGGUUUCCCAAAAGGCACUGUUUUUGCACACAAGGGUGGAACUUGUUUCUACUCGUUUUACGUUUAGAACCCCGCAAACCUGGAGAGGACGGCUGAAAGGUGCCUCUUGUUCAGUCCCCCUUAAAUUAAUACGUCCUAACAUGUGUGAAAAUCAAGAGUUACGCGAAUGUUAGCCAAGUACUAAUCCACUUUCAGAAUCACUCUCCACGAAGGGUUUCCCCCCGGCUGCCUCUCGGUGGACUUCUCCUCCUGCAGACGCACGGGUUGCCUAGGACUCCCGCGAGUAACACGGCUGCCGAAUCCUCUUUGCCCACUUGCCGCUUUCCAUCCCUCGUUGUCACGGGCACCUGCGUGCGUGCUGAGCGUAGUGACGCGUGGUCAGCGGUCAGCAGUGCGGUGGGGCCAUCGGGCGGGAGGAGGUGCCCGGCACGGUGUCCACUACGGGGGGAGCUGGAGAGCAAGGACACGAGCAGGCCCCGUCCUGGUGCCCGCAUAGCGCCAGGCUCUGCUGUCCAGAGAGCUGAUGGAGCAACGUAUUAACACUCGGCAAAACCCACCAACGUUUUAAACCGUGUAUGUUGCUCUACCUACCAGGAGAUGUUACUUCUAGAAGUCUAUCCAGCCUAUAAGUUGCAUGUAUAAAAGAUGCUUGUUUAGCAACAACCUAGAAAUAAGGCAUAUGUCCAACAAUAAGGACACCGUCAAGUAAAUUACGGCACGUCGUCCCAGACCUACAGGGCAGCCGUUUAAAUGGGGUAUGCUGUCACCAGGUGUCCCCGCGAUGGCACCAGUGACCUCUCAACUGGGUAAUUCUCUCUCGUGGAGGACCAUCUUGCCCUGCAGGAUGUUCAGCAGCAUCCCCGGCCCCUCCCUCGAUGCCUCGCUCCCCCUGCCGUAGCAAGUACAACCGUCUCUAGCCUUGACCCUGGGGACAGCCCCCCGGUGAGACCCUGGUUCUGUAAACCCGGCUAGAGAGAUGCCCAGCAUCUAUCUAGUUGCAGAGAUGAGUUGCUACAGAGUCUAAAGGCAUCCCAUGGUGGAGCCUGUACCCGUGUUACAGCAGAGGCGGUCUCUGCAAGGGGGUGUGGGGAGACCCACGUGAGCCCCGGCCCCGAACACCCACCUUGCACAAGCCCCGGGAUGGUGUCCGUUAAACGGCUGUGGUCGAAUGACUUUGAUUCAAACCAGCCAGCGUGAUGACUGUGCACCUCUUAGGCGCUGCGCCAAAUAGGGGCCCAGAGGCCGGACCCUAAAGGCAGGGCCUGCUCACUGGGCCACAGGCACUUCCCUGGAGGCAAGGCCGAGGCCCUCCCUGGAGAGCAGCUCUGGUCACUGAGCCACCAGAUGCCAGUGGGCAGAGCAGGGAGCCUUGAGGUCCAGGAUGGGGCGCACCCCGGCCUCCACGGUGGGUUUUACGCUGUGCUGACAAUCAGGGGCUGUCAUGGUGUCUGUGCGUCCAGCUCGUGAUCCGGAGGAACCCUCCAGGGCUAAACGGAAUCUCCUCCACCUUGUAUCGGGCACCCCAGUGAAGUCCCAGACGGGACCUAAAGACUCUGGCCAAGAAUCGUCAGGACCCCUCCUUGUCCUGGCUCUGACCGAGGCAAGGCCGGGGCCCUCGAUUCUGAGCCACGCAGCGACGCCUGCACCAGGCCCUUCCAUUAGGAACCGGGCUUGCCCGCUCCCCGGCCGCGUGUGUCUGCACAGGCAGGCUCGGGAGGGCGGGAAAGGCUUGCCUCUCUCUCCGCCGUGGCGGUCUCCCCUACACGGCACGGGGCUGCCGCAGACGAGGCCCUCACGUCACCGUGGAGCCACCCUGCCCUGCGGGUGAGGGCCACGGGGGCAGCGGGAGAACGCAGCCCCAGGAACGCAGAUGGGGAGUCGAGGGCCUGCGUCUGACCCUUCGUCCUGGAACUGCUGUGUCGUUGCAAUUUUGCCAAACCCCGUGUGGCCUGGCCCUGGCGCCUCCGCGAGAGAGCAGACGCUCACAUCCGUCCCCGUGGCCUCUGGGGAGGAGGUAGGCAGCACCUGGUAAUUGCGAGAGGUGUUUUAAGACCUGGAAGCAAACAGUAAGUGCGUCCCUCCGUUCGGUGUGUUCACUCCCUCCAGUUCAUCCCUGAGCAUCGCACAAAGAUCGUGACCGUUUGCCUGUUUCUGAUCGGACUUUCCUGAUCAUGAAUCAGUUGAUUACCUCCCCUGAACGUCUCCGUCCGUGUGCGCGUGAGGCAGAAGGAAUCCCUCCCCGUGCAAAGCCAACCUGCGCUGCAGCCUGGCCCGUCUUACCCCGCAGAACGCACCUGCCUCAGAGUCUGGGGUGCACAUAAACAUCUGGCCGGUCAUUUCCACUCAUUUCUGGGCCCCCCGAGCCCACGCGGUCAGAGCCCCUGUGUUGGUCUGUCCGUCUUCAGAUGCCUGGUCCCGACACCUGGGCGCACCUCUAUUUUGAUUCUGUGUCUCCUUCCCGAGUGCUCUACCCUGACCGGCGUGGGCACAGCCUCUCCGCACAGCCCGGAGGCAGGCUGGGGGCAGCUCAAGCACUCCUCUGCCCAGCUCACUCCUCUUCUGGGGCCUCGGCCCUCCCGGGGAGGACGGUGGUGUGCAUGGGGCACUGCCCUAAGGGAAUCAUUAUCUCAUCGAAAUCCUCACAGCAGUGCUUCCCGGUAGGGAAAGGAGGGUAUUCACAGAACACCUGAGUCACUUACAGUUGUCUAACUCGACGAUGUCGUUUUUCACACUGCCGUUUCUUUUUCUCGAAGUAACGACUCACGUGGCAGUAGGGGGUUGUAAGCGUUGGCUCGGCAGCUGGUUGGCGAAAGCCCAGAUCUACCCGUCUUCUAGGUUUACCGUCCCUAGAGCAUUGUUUUUCCAUCCUCGUGAGUGGUGCCUUGUGGCCGCAAAGUGGCUGCCACAGCCCCAGGCGUCACAUGCAGUUGAAGGGAGGAAAUGGAUGAAACGAGCUGCCUCCGUCCCUUUUAUCGGGAAGGCAAAGCUUUCCCCAAACCUUGGGACUUCCCUGUGCUCCUUGUGGAUGAGAAACCGUCACAUGGCACUUCUAGCUAAAAGGAAGGUAGGAAGACAAGUAUCGGGAUACAAGGAAUAGGGGAUUGGGAAUGGUUGUCUUACUUGCCAGCCUCGAGGUCAACUGAGGAGGUAUUCGGGAAAGGGUGAGCGGACUUGAGGGAGGCCCUGUGCCUGGCCUGCCCCCCACCAUUUCUCAUUCCUCUUGGGCAGAUCUUAGGGACCCAUUGGUUAGGAAGGAGAGGGACGCUACAGUGUGUAAUCCAGGCUUGCUGGAACGUGGAGAAUGGCAGGGGUGAGCCUAGAGAAGGGGAGCUCCUGAGGAGCCCCGGGUGGCAGCACCAGGCACAGGGGCAGAGGGCCAGGACCGCAUCCUCUCCGGACCGGUUUCCCUCUCUGUGAACGGAGCGUGAUGGCAGGAACUAUCUCCAGUGUGGUCGGACGGACUGGAAGGGCCAGAGUAGUGCCUGACCCACAGCACACGCUGUAACGUGUCCGACAGAUCUGUGAGAAGGCAGAGAUCGGCGGCGCACAGAGACCCGUGGCGGAGCCCGUGUCGGCACCUCUUGGCCACGGUGCUUCCCCCUGAUCGGACCCUCUUCUUUCUCCGCCGCCUGGUUGUGGGACAGGGCAGAGCAAGGUUGUCCGAUGCACAAGGACCGGUAACCUAGCUCUGG